CGGGGCGUAGCUCAGCCUGGGAGAGCGUCGGCUUCGGGAGCCGAGAGUCGGAGGUUCAAAUCCUCUCGCCCCGA
rnacentral:tRNA from 1 species